UGCGUAGGGGGCGAGCGUUGUCCGGAGUUACUGGGCGUAAAGCGCUUGUAGGCGGUCCACCAAGUUUGGGGUGACAGUUGCCGACUUAAUCGGCAAAGUGCCUCAAAGACUGGCGGACUUGAGGGCCACAGAGGGACAUGGAACUCCAGGUGUAGUGGUGAAAUGCGUAGAUAUCUGGAAGAACACCAAAGGCGAAGGCAGUGUCCUGGGUGGUCGCUGACGCUGAGAGGCGAAAGCCAGGGGAGCGAACGGG
rnacentral:rRNA from 1 species